UGGGGAAUAUUGCACAAUGGGCGCAAGCCUGAUGCAGCCAUGCCGCGUGUAUGAAGAAGGCCUUCGGGUUGUAAAGUACUUUCAGCGGGGAGGAAGGGAGUAAAUUUAAUACCUUUGCUCAUUGACGUUACCCGCAGAAGAAGCACCGGCUAACUCCGUGCCAGCAGCCGCGGUAAUACGGAGGGUGCAAGCGUUAAUCGGAAUUACUGGGCGUAAAGCGCACGCAGGCGGUUUGUUAAGUCAGAUGUGAAAUCCCCGGGCUCAACCUGGGAACUGCAUCUGAUACUGGCAAGCUUGAGUCUCGUAGAGGGGGGUAGAAUUCCAGGUGUAGCGGUGAAAUGCGUAGAGAUCUGGAGGAAUACCGGUGGCGAAGGCGGCCCCCUGGACGAAGACUGACGCUCAGGUGCGAAAGCGUGGGGAGCAAACA
rnacentral:rRNA from 1 species